rnacentral:rRNA from 1 species
UACGUAGGGUGCAAGCGUUGUCCGGAAUUAUUGGGCGUAAAGGGCUCGUAGGCGGUUUGUCGCGUCUGCUGUGAAAACGCGAGGCUCAACCUCGCGCCUGCAGUGGGUACGGGCAGACUAGAGUGCGGUAGGGGAGAUUGGAAUUCCUGGUGUAGCGGUGGAAUGCGCAGAUAUCAGGAGGAACACCGAUGGCGAAGGCAGAUCUCUGGGCCGUAACUGACGCUGAGGAGCGAAAGCGUGGGGAGCGAACAGG